rnacentral:rRNA from 1 species
UACAGAGGUCCCAAGCGUUGUUCGGAUUCACUGGGCGUAAAGGGUGCGUAGGUGGUGAGGUAAGUCGGAUGUGAAAUCUCCGAGCUCAACUCGGAAAUGGCAUUGGAAACUACCUUGCUAGAGGGUUGGAGGGGGGACUGGAAUACUUGGUGUAGCAGUGUAAUGCGUAGAUAUCAAGUGGAACACCAGUGGCGAAGGCGAGUCCCUGGACAACUCCUGACACUGAGGCACGAAAGCUAGGGGAGCAAACAGG